AGAUUUUCUGUCAAGUCAUUUCAAAUUAAAUUGGCAGCCUUGCAAUGUUCAGCCCAUAUGAGUUUUUGUGUGGCAUAUAUUGUUAAUGUUAAACCAAUUCUCACAUAAGAUCAACAGAAUUUACAGAGGCAACGUUUGCAUCAGUUACUGUUUUUAAAGUCUGGGCCUUUAUGAGCUACUGAAAAAUGCCUUUUCCAGAGCAAAAUUUAACUUUGGGCUGAAUUAUUCAUGUGUAAAUUCAGGCAAUUUAUUUGUGAAAUUAUUUGUAAAUAAUUACACUUUUCUAUACAGUGUAAUAAUGAAAUUAGUACCAGCCUAGGAGUGAACCGAAUGACUUUGUUAGCAAUUAGUGUGACUCCACUCCCACUCCCUCAGGCUGACUCCCACUGAAAGGGUGCAGAAUUUGCCCCUGAGAACUCCAUUUAUUUUUGAUACUUCCAGGACUUUCCUUUUUUAAAAUGUAACAUUUAUGUGAUAUUUUAGUCCUUCUAGUGUCUGAAAAUUUAAAAAGCGGAUGAUACUUGAAGAUAAAUUGCUAUCAUCAUGCAGGAAGUUUUUUCCUUAAGAUUUUCCCAUAUUUUUCUUUCAGGGCUCAGCCUGAAAAAACCCACACUAGUAUCCUCUUUCUGUGAGUACUGAUGGAUUAUUCUGGGGGAGACUGGGGCCCAUAACCUCAAAAGUAGGAUUCUGGAAACUUACUGCUGAAGAGGAUUCAGAGUGGCUUAGGAGCAGAAAAUAUCUUCUCUUACCUGCUGCCUGUUGAGAAGUGACCCUGCUGUAACUCCUUUCUUGCUGCUACUCCUAAUAUAUCCACGAGGGAGAGGAAACCUUUGCUACAAGCCCUUCAGCAGAGAGCGGAUCCAGGGGGACUCGGUUACAUGGUGCGUUCUGGGGCCCAGUUUAACUUCACUGCAUCUUUCCAGCAGUCCCAGAACUCUUCAAAAAUGUGGGUGGAGAUCCAUUACACAUGCUUACUAUGGUUACUCGCCAUGAAAAACAGUAUGAACAGCCAACACAGACUCCAGGUGGUGGAUCAGCAUUAAUCAUAAUAGACUCAGGGGCAGGGGAUUGGCAAGGUACCACAAGAAAUGGUUGUACAUCUAUACCCUUGAACUCCAUUUCCUCCCACAGCGGACAGCGUUAUGGAGAUCGAUGGUAAAUUCUUCAGGGAGCAGCAGCAUCAUUUUGUUCUGAAUUGUGUCCAUGCUUGGUCUGCGGCUGUGCCUCCUGGGCUCAAAGACGUUAUAAUGAUACAGAUGG